GGCCGCCGGGGGCUGCCCCGGGCGGGUCCCUCGGCGGCGGCUGUCGCCCGGGCUCCCCGCCUCACCCCGACUGUUACGCGGCGCAGGCACCGGCGGCAGCGCGCUCCCCCCAUCUCAGCCCCGAGGACGCUCCGGCGGCAGCCCGAGGGUCCGAGGGGACGGUAGGCAGCCUCGGCCCCGGCGCCACAGGGCCACCUGCUUGGCCCCCCGCUGCCGGGACGAGCCGCGGCCUCCGUACGCCCGAAGGCUCGCACGCCCCGUACCUGCCCUACUCGGAUGAAGGAGCGCUUGCACACGUACGUAAUGCGCGCCCCGGGGCCGCUGGUGCCUUGUCGUCACGGCCGGAGCAGGUAGCUGGCGCUCGGGGUGGAAGAUUUCUGGACCGCACCAUCCUCCCUUUGCUCUGUGAACCCAGCUUCGGUGUGGCCAAAUCACCAACUAGUUCGGGAAGAUUUCUUUGUUUCUGCCAUCUCCCUUUUCCUGAGGGGAAAAAUGGCAGCCUGCCCCCACCAGCUGAACGCACCGAAGGGUCAGGUCAAUGCUACAGCAGCAGAGACACGGGGGACAACAGCUGCUCCUGGCAGGUAGAUGAGACUGGUUCUUCCCUCCCGUUACUGUUCCUGCUCCUUGAAACCUAGCGCAUGGACAGCCCCCCCCCCCCCCCCCUCCUUUCCCCCCUUGCAGUACAGAGGGAAAGAGCUCCCCGUUCCUGAGCCAGAGGAGUAAGACACCUUGCAGCUCAUUGCUGCUUAGCAGCCCAGCUCAGCAUCGUGUGUCCUUUCAGGGGUAAAAGCCUUCCCUCACCCUACUUGGUGUUGAAACACGGAUGAGAAGAGACUGCUACAGCACCGCCUGUGCACAAAGGAGGAUUAUUAAGACAGAAAUUACCCAUGGAAAAAGAAGAAGGUUAAGAAGAGGUUAAGUUAAAAGAAAGUCAAGGACUCAGAAUUGAAGAAGUGCCCGAUUUAAGGCUAUGGAAAGGCAAACCUGUGGCUGGAUGUGCGUCAGAGCUAGCAUGAGAGCACGCUGCAAACAAAUGAGGAUACUCGGAGCUGCUGUGCAAUGUCAGUGCCAGUGCCAGCUGCUGUUGCAGGCUGGGAGAAGGGAGAGACAGGGGCUACUGGUGUUUGCAGAAGAAAACUGCUGAAAGUGCAAGAAAGUCACUCCCAUCACUCUGAAACCUAAUUUAUUCUGUCCUGCCAGAGAGUCAUACAGAGAACAAGUUCAAGAGGAUUUCAAAUCCUACCUAAAGUAUAUCUAAACUGGAAUGUUUAAUUACACUUUCUUGGACUUGUAAAGACAAUCACAACAGCUCUAGGUGAGAAGUAAAUUAGUUCAACAAUGGCUGGUUAAUAGUCACUAACAAAGUGAGGCUUUCUAAUACCAUCUGAGAUGAAGUUGUGGUGGCGAUGUGUUCCUCAAGUGCCUUUCAAAUAUCCUCUGUCCACAAAGAUCAGUGAAGUGUUUCACUCUCAGAAACACAGUCCUAAAAACAAGGGAGCAAAAUGAUGGGUGACCAGGAUAAAGUGACAAGCUUGGUGAUGGCAGCAGUUACCUGACUCUAUAGAACAAGAAACCCCAGGUAAAAACACAUCCUGUAUUUUCUUACAUAGGGAAACAGUAAAAUUGAGUAAGCUCAAGCUGUUCUCAAAAGCACAUGGUGAGAAUUAGAGGGAGAAAAAAGAACACUCUCUUCCCUGCAACAUGUCCUAUUCCUUUCAGUUACAGCAUGUUUAGGUAUUACUGGAAAGACACACAGUACUAAAUAUCAACAUCACAAAUGUGGUUUCCAAGUUGAGAAGGUCAUUUAAAUAAACCAUAUAACAUGUUUCUCACAAACACAAAACUUCCUUUGGACAACAUUGAAGAUGUCCUCAUUGUUUAAGGGAAGCUCUGCACAUAUACUCAAGGAUCAGGAGAGAGACCCCAAGAAAACACAUUUUACAUUGUGUUAUGUGUGUGUUACAUAGUAGGUAAUUCAUGGCCUAUGUCAAAAAAAGCGCCACACUUUCAUGUAGUCCUACUAAAGUGUAGUGCUAGUAAAGGAACAAUGCAUUUUUUUUUAUUACAGUUCAUUUUAAAUAAAAAUUACAAUCAA